rnacentral:rRNA from 1 species
GUAGGGAAUUUUCGUCAAUGGGGGGAACCCUGAACGAGCAAUGCCGCGUGUGUGAAGAAGGUCUUCGGAUCGUAAAGCACUGUUGUAAGUGAAGAAUGCCAUAUAGAGGAAAUGCUAUGUGGGUGACGGUAGCUUACCAGAAAGCCACGGCUAACUACGUGCCAGCAGCCGCGGUAAUACGUAGGUGGCAAGCGUUAUCCGGAAUCAUUGGGCGUAAAGGGUGCGUAGGUGGCACGAUAAGUCUGAAGUAAAAGGCAACAGCUCAACUGUUGUAUGCUUUGGAAACUGUCGAGCUAGAGUGCAGAAGAGGGCGAUGGAAUUCCAUGUGUAGCGGUAAAAUGCGUAGAUAUAUGGAGGAACACCAGUGGCGAAGGCGGUCGCCUGGUCUGUAACUGACACUGAUGCACGAAAGCGUGGGGAGCAAAUAGGAUUAGAUACCCCAGUAGUCC